UUAAAUGACUAAAUGAUUACAAUUAUGCAAGUGAUGCAAAAUUCUCACAAUCAAUCAACUAGUACGUGCGUUUAUUGAUAUUUGAAUGUGUGGAAAAAGCAUGUCAGUUUCAUUAUGAAUUACCGAAAAUCAAAUUCAUCUCUGACAUUUGUUGAUGGUUUGAUUACUCUUGAAUAACAUGAAAUGACAUGGAACAGAAUCGAAUGUGUAAACAAGUCACUGAUACCUGUCAAGCAAUAUUAAAUCAAUUCAUUUGGUCAGAUAAUGUCAAAUUCUUGAAAAUUCGAAUAAGAAUCUUCACGAUAUUUGAGAAAAUUAAAAGAUAAUUGAUAUUACCGGUAUCCAUCUAAUUAGUGGUGAAGCAGGAUCCUCUUCAAUCGAUCCUCCUUCUGAACUUCGUUUGAUACCUCUGUUGUUAAGCUUAAGCAUUAUACGAAGACAUCCGCGUAGACCAUCUGAAAUGGGAAUUUAAGAUAGGUAAUCUCAAAUAUACAAAUUUAGAGUGAUUCGGAAGGCAAACAUUUUUAAAAUGAGAUUGCUGCACAAGGAUUCGUAAUAAACGCAAUAAGAUAUAUCGUUGGGCGUUUAAUAAAGAUUCCAAAUCUUUCCGUAUGUGUCAGUUAUACGCAUUCUCGAUUUGAGACAAAAUAUUUGAGAUGCUUUUACUUACCAUCUUCAAUUCUUUCGAAGGUAUUAUUACCAAACAGUAAUCCUUUGGCGAAGAUGGAUUUCAAAUCGAUAUUUUUAUUAUAGCUAUCAUACAGGGCUUCAAAAAAUGCUGAACCCGUGAAAAAUGUUAUACAUGUCAAAAUAGCAUAGAAAAUAUUUAUCAAACUUACAGAUAUUUAGUUUCAAAUUGUGAUUGAAAAGAUUUGUUAUAAAUUUCGUAUUGAUUUCACAGAAUGAAAAUGAACACUUAUCAAUUUUCCAUUAUACGAUCGAAAAUGUGGAAACGUAGUCAUAAUCUCUUUUGCACUUCCCUUCCGAGCAACUAAUGUUGUAUGAAGUUUAACACAUUGGAGCAUGCUGUCUCGAAUGAAAAUGAAGUUGGCUGUAGUUGCUUCUUUUUUGGCACAUUUUUUAGCCACACCAAUCAUUUCAGGAUCAUCUACCAGCGAAAUCAUACGUCGUCUGUACUUUUUGAGUUCAGUGGGUACUUUGUUAGCUAGGUUUCUAAUAUGUCUCUGUAUAUAACCAGUAUGUUCAUGACCAGUUCCUUUUCCACCGUUCGCAUAAAAAAGCAGACUGCAAAAACAAAUAAUAGUACUAUCAUUAGCGAAGGUGUGUUUGAGAGUAAAAAUCCUUCGCUCAAUGCUCGGCGGCAAAGUAUGGAGAAUGGCGAAGACGCAUGAAUCACGUAUUGUAGCAAUUAUACAAACAUACUGACAUUGGGAGACUGAUAAAACACGACAGACUACAGUGGGCUGGACAUGUAGCAAGAAUACCGGAAUAUAGAAUGGCCUAUAUUAUGCUUAGCAGAGAACCUGGGGAAGGUCGUCUAUUGAAGAAUCCAACGAAAAAUGACCACCCGCGUCGCUGCUGUAGUGAUGACUGAUGAAAAUUUCUAAAGUUAGGAAGAUUGGAAUGUGGAAAAAAAUCGAUCCACUUCAAAAUGGAUAUUGAACCGAGGCGGUUUUGUAUCGUGCCGAGAUGUCAUUCUACUGGAAAUAAGUUGUUUCGAGUUCCCAAACCCUGUAGUAAAGUAUUUAAACGAUGGCAAAAAAAAUCUGACAAUAACAGGUUAUGGUGAUGAAUUUAUUUGUGAAAAACAUUUCAAGUCCGAUGAUUUCGUCGAAAAUACGAGGAGAAAAUUGAAACUAUCCGCAAUGCCUACAUUAAAGCUGCCUUCCGUUUCUAAAAAGAUAACGGUACAGUCAGGAUGUUGCAUAACAGAUUGUACUUCCAAGCGUGUCGGGUAUAUGGAAAAAUUUCCUCAGAAAAAGACAUCUUCGUUCCGGAAAUGGUUAACACUUCUAGGAAUCACAUCGGAAGAAGUAUUGAAAAAUUCUAUAUAUAUUUGUCGGAAGCAUUUUUCAUUGACUGAUUACGUAACUGUACGAUAUCGUUAUUUGAAGAUAAACGCUAUUCCCACUAAAAAACUUGUGAGAGUUAUUAAGACACCAUCUUUGUACCGAAGAGAAGUUCGAUAUAUGCCUACAACAAUACAAAUAGAUCAUAAUUAUUGUAAGGAAAAUUUAAAACCUAGAAGCAAUCGUUUCUGUUCUGUACCAGGAUGUACAGUGAAAAGCUCAAAAGGAAUCUUUCUACACAAAUUUCCGGAAAACGAAAAAUUUUCAAUAGCCUGGACAGUUGCUAUCAAAGCAAUGCAUCAUCCUACCAAAAAUUCUUAUGUUUGCAACCAGCACUUUCACACGAGUGAUUAUAUUCCAGGUAUUACAUUUCGAAAUAAAGACAUUGAAUUAACUAAUUCAGUCAUCCUCUAGGACGUAAGAUACUAAAGAAUUCAGCUGUACCCAGUUGCAAAUUACCUUUAACCUCAUUAUAAAAAACAAAAUCAGUACGAGACAAAUAUAAUCCAUACAAAAGAUCGUUUAAAAGUUACCGGAAACAAAAGUGUAAUUAUUCUAGUCUGGACCCCGACAGUUGCACUGAGCAAAAGGGAAGUAUUGACCAUACAGUAACUGAACUCAAGGCAAAUGGGAAUUAUUGUGUUUUUGAAGAGAAAUCAGUUAGCGCAAAAGAGGCUGAAGCGUUGAAAAUUUUAUCAGAGUUUCCAUUUAGUAACCACAGAUUAAACAGUCUGCGUGUUGAAGGAAACAAAAACGAGGGCAAUAUAUCGGCCGAUGUCAAUAAAGCCAUUCAAGAACUGCAACGUAAAAGAGAAACCAUUCUUAGUGACUUGUUACUAACAGACAAAGAUAUAAAUAUUUGGACGGGGAUACCAUCGUUGUGUUUAUUGGAAGUCGUAUGUACAACGGUCAGUAAUCUUGAAGAAAAUGUUUACAACGGAAAAUUCAAAAUGCAUGCCACUGAUCGGGUUAUUCUUACACUGUCUAAUGGAAUUCGAUUACACAUACCCCCAAUAAUGCAAGGAGAGCGAUAUUCUAUAGAUAAAGCAUUGCUCAAUGAAUCGAUAGCAAAGGCGAGAAUCCACGUCGAGCGCGCUAUAUCUCGUAUGAAAAAGUUCGGAGUACUACAACGAAAUUUAGACGCCAGUACAUUGAAACACAUUGAUGGUAUCUUGAAGGUUAUCUGUGGAAUUGUGAAUCUAUCGGCACCAAUCUUACGCGAUGAUAAA